rnacentral:hammerhead_ribozyme from 1 species
AUCUAGCUGACGAGUGCCAAAUAAGACAAAACACGCGUCCUGAAU